AGAGACCGGCGCACGGGUGCGUAACGCGUAUGCAAUCUACCUUUUACAGAGGGAUAGCCCAGAGAAAUUUGGAUUAAUACCUCAUAGUAUUACGACUCGGCAUCGAGAUGUAAUUAAAGUCACAACGGUAAAAGAUGAGCAUGCGUCCCAUUAGCUAGUUGGUAAGGUAACGGCUUACCAAGGCUACGAUGGGUAGGGGUCCUGAGAGGGAGAUCCCCCACACUGGUACUGAGACACGGACCAGACUCCUACGGGAGGCAGCAGUGAGGAAUAUUGGACAAUGGGCGCAAGCCUGAUCCAGCCAUGCCGCGUGCAGGAUGACGGUCCUAUGGAUUGUAAACUGCUUUUAUACAGGAAGAAACACCUCUACGUGUAGAGACUUGACGGUACUGUAAGAAUAAGGAUCGGCUAACUCCGUGCCAGCAGCCGCGGUAAUACGAAGGGGGCUAGCGUUGUUCGGAAUUACUGGGCGUAAAGCGCACGUAGGCGGAUAUUUAAGUCAGGGGUGAAAUCCCGCAGCUCAACUGCGGA
rnacentral:rRNA from 1 species